AAGACUCCAUCUCAAAAACAAACAAAAAAAUUAAGUUAUGUCGAAUUAUAUUUUCCUAGGCAUCCAGAACCUUCCAACAUGAAUUCAUGGUAAAGGAAACACCUAAAUAUUGUUUCUGGCAAUCUCCUGUUUUGUAAAGUCUGUGUUAAACUUUUAUUCCCCGACUAGCAUUGGAAUCACUGUAGAACACAUAGAUUUGGCGUGAGAUGGCUUCAUUGUGAACGAGUUCCCGUUUAUUGUGUCAAAGUCAAGCCAUUGAGCAGCCAGGUACGGAUGGGCCAACUGCCGAGCCACGGUGGAGAAGGUGGAGAAGAGCGAUGGAGUUCUCAGCGAAAUCAGAGCUGCCUCGGUGGAUGGAGCUGAAUUCCUGAGGAAAAGCUCAACUCAGUUAUGGACGGAUCUUGUUCCUCCCUAUCAGGGGAUCCCCAAGGAGAACGCUUGGCGUGUCCUCCUUUGGUCCAGCCUGGGUUGCAGCUUCGAUGCUCCCUCUGUGCAGGGGGGAAGGUACCUGCAGAUUGCCCAUCUGUACCCCAGGAUUUAGGGGACACCUGAUGAGGUAUUUGUGUUUAAUCAUCAUCUUGAUGCGGACGCUUUUAGGAACAAGGACUGAGACUGGGAGGGAUUAUAAAUAAACACUCAAAUGACAGGAAA
rnacentral:lncRNA from 1 species